rnacentral:rRNA from 1 species
UACGUACUGUGCGAACGUUAUUCGGAAUCACUGGGCUUAAAGGGCGCGUAGGCGGCGUGUCAAGUCAGGCGUGAAAGCCCCGGGCUUAACCUGGGAACUGCCGUCCAAACUGCUUGACUUGAGUCCGGGAGAGGUGAGUGGAAUUCCCAGUGUAGCGGUGAAAUGCGUAGAUAUUGGGAGGAACACCAGUGGCGAAGGCGGCUCACUGGACCGGAACUGACGCUGAGGCGCGAAAGCGUGGGGAGCAAACAGGGAU